rnacentral:rRNA from 1 species
ACCCGAAACCCGGUGAUCUAGCCAUGGGCAGGUUGAAGGUUGGGUAACACUAACUGGAGGACCGAACCGACUAAUGUUGAAAAAUUAGCGGAUGACCUGUGGCUGGGGGUGAAAGGCCAAUCAAACCGGGAGAUAGCUGGUUCUCCCCGAAAGCUAUUUAGGUAGCGCCUCGUGAAUUCAUCUCCGGGGGUAGAGCACUGUUUCGGCUAGGGGGCCAUCCCGGCUUACCAACCCGAUGCAAACUGCGAAUACCGGAGAAUGUUAUCACGGGAGACACACGGCGGGUGCUAACGUCCGUCGUGAAGAGGGAAACAACCCAGACCGCCAGCUAAGGUCCCAAAGUCAUGGUUAAGUGGGAAACGAUGUGGGAAGGCCCAGACAGCCAGGAUGUUGGCUUAGAAGCAGCCAUCAUUUAAAGAAAGCGUAAUAGCUCACUGGUCGAGUCGGCCUGCGCGGAAGAUGUAACGGGGCUAAACCAUGCACCGAAGCUGCGGCAGCGACGCUUAUGCGUUCGUUGGGUAGGGGAGCGUUCUGUAAGCCUGUGAAGGUGGCCUGUGAGGGUUGCUGGAGGUAUCAGAAGUGCGAAUGCUGACAUAAGUAACGAUAAAGCGGGUGAAAAGCCCGCUCGCCGGAAGACCAAGGGUUCCUGUCCAACGUUAAUCGGGGCAGGGUGAGUCGACCCCUAAGGCGAGGCCGAAAGGCGUAGUCGAUGGGAAACGGGUUAAUAUUCCCGUACUUGGUGUUACUGCGAAGGGGGGACGGAGAAGGCUAUGUUGGCCGGGCGACGGUUGUCCCGGUUUAAGCGUGUAGGUGUGUGUUCCAGGUAAAUCCGGUU